rnacentral:rRNA from 1 species
CCCAGACUCCUACGGGAGGCAGCAGUGAGGAAUAUUGGUCAAUGGGCGGGAGCCUGAACCAGCCAAGUCGCGUGAGGGAUGACAGUCCUAUGGAUUGUAAACCUCUUUUGUCAGGGAGCAAAGGGCGCCACGUGUGGCAUUUUGCGAGUACCUGAAGAAAAAGCAUCGGCUAACUCCGUGCCAGCAGCCGCGGUAAUACGGAGGAUGCGAGCGUUAUCCGGAUUUAUUGGGUUUAAAGGGUGCGCAGGCGGAAUGUCAAGUCAGCGGUAAAAUUUCGGGGCUCAACCCCGUCGUGCCGUUGAAACUGGCGUUCUUGAGUGAGCGAGAAGUAUGCGGAAUGCGUGGUGUAGCGGUGAAAUGCAUAGAUAUCGCGCAGAACUCCGAUUGCGAAGGCAGCAUGCCGGCUCCACACUGACGCUGAGGCACGAAAGCGUGGGUAUCGAACAGGAUUAGAUACCCUGGUACA